AGAACGAACGCUGGCGGCAGGCCUAAUACAUGCAAGUCGAACGCACUCUUCGGAGUGAGUGGCAGGCGGGUGAGUAACGCGUGGAAACCUUCCCAAUAGUACGGAAUAACUCCGGGAAACCGGUGCUAAUACCGUAUAAGCCCUUCGGGGGAAAGAUUUAUCGCUAUUGGAUGGGUCCGCGUCGGAUUAGCUUGUUGGUAGGGUAAUGGCCUACCAAGGCGACGAUCCGUAGCUGGUCUGAGAGGAUGAUCAGCCACACUGGGACUGAGACACGGCCCAGACUCCUACGGGAGGCAGCAGUAGGGAAUCCUGGACAAUGGGCGAAAGCCUGAUCCAGCCAUGCCGCGUGAGUGAAGAAGGCCUUAGGGUUGUAAAGCUCUUUUGGCGGGGACGAUAAUGACGGUACCCGCAGAAUAAGCCCGGCUAACUUCGUGCUAGCAGCCGC
rnacentral:rRNA from 1 species